rnacentral:misc_RNA from 1 species
AGAUUAACAGCGUCUAUAUGUCUUCCAUUGUUUAUCAACACAUCAAUAACACCUGUAUAGACGCUGUUAAUCUAGCUUUUGCAUUUGAGCUGACAGAGCAGUUUCCACCUGUUUCUCUAUUGAAAUCCUACUUGAAUGAAGCUAGCAAAGCAUCUACACCUUCCAAUUCUGGAAAUGCAUCACCUACUGUGCAGAAUGAUGUCAAUGAGAAAGAGUUGUCUGCACUAAAGGCUGUAUUAAAAUGCAUUGAAGACCAUAAGCUUGAGGAGCAAUACCUUGUGGAUCCCCUUCAGAAAAGGGUUCAUCAGCUGGAGAAAGCAAAGUCCGACAAGAAAAAGGCAACUGAAGUUACAAAACCUCAAUCCAAAAGACCUCGUCCCAAUGGUGUCGGAAAUGGCCCCCGAGUAAAUAAUGUCGUCACUGAGAAGAACUUCUAUCCCAGAAUGACUGAUAGGUAUCCGCAACCUGUUUAUGACGGACCAUAUGCUUACCCUGGACCGACCAACACUCAUGUCCCAUCUUUCAUAGGUGCUCCUGCAUACAACUUCUCUCCAGGCCACGACUUUUUCGGAAAUGGCUACCAUUACCAGGCUCCUUACCUGCAUUGAUCAGGAAACUUUGAUGAUUAUCCCUUUAACUAUUAGUGUUUAACCUUGGAGUUUGCUUAAUUUGCUCGUGUGGGCGAAUUUAAUACUGAAUGUAGCCGACCUGUCUAUUUCUAAUCUGGUGUAAAAGCUGAUAUUUUGAUCUUUGAAUAUAUGCACUGUGUACUGUUUCAUGUUUA